CAGUGCCGCGGGAAUACGUAGGUGGCAAGCGUUGUCCGGAAUUAUUGGGCGUAAAGGGCUCGCAGGCGGUUUCUUAAGUCUGAUGUGAAAGCCCCCGGCUCAACCGGGGAGGGUCAUUGGAAACUGGGAAACUUGAGUGCAGAGGAGGAGAGUGGAAUUCCACGUGUAGCGGUGAAAUGCGUAGAGAUGUGGAGGAACACCAGUGGCGAAGGCGACUCUCUGGUCUGUAACUGACGCUGAGGAGCGAAAGCGUGGGGAGCGAACAGGAUUAGAUACCCGUGUAGUCCCUGUCUCUUAUACC
rnacentral:rRNA from 1 species